rnacentral:lncRNA from 1 species
GGGUAACAAUUUUAUAUAUAUAAACUCCUCUCCUUUGGAGCAAUUACAUCAAUAUACAAACCUUAAAAUCCAAAGAACACCAAAAUACUUGAUAAGGUGUUAUAAAAAACUUAUAUAUCCUUAUGAGGAAUUUUUCCCGAAGUUCAACAGCUCAUAACUUACGAUCUAACCGUCUAAACAACUCCAAAUUUUACAUGAAGUACUGAUAUAUCUUUAGCAACUACCACACCAAAAUUCAACCGUAAAUUCAUCUUGGAUCUUGUGAUAUCUUGAAAAUCCUAACUGUAGCUUCAAACCCUAGCUUUUUUACACCCGUGUACAACUUCCUUUAUAUCUCACAAAGUAAUUAUUCAAAUACUAUGAAACUUUGAUUUAAAGCUUCUAACCCAAUUACACACACUUGUGGAAAUUUUGAGCCAAAAAUUCGUCCAGAAACUCAAGAUAUGGCUUCACCCAUAACUAGCAACAAAACGAUAUACUUACUGCCUUCAAAUUACAAGUGCUGUCUUCAACGCCUCAUAACUCCUUCACCCAAUUUUAUAAUUUACUAUACAGUAAGUAGAAUGUGUAGCCGAGAAAAUGCUCCCUCCAAAUCCAGUCGCCGAUCUUCCGUUGCUCUCCGUAUUCGUAUGUGAUGCCCAAAAGAAGUGACAGUAGGUACAAAAUUGACACCUUAUCUUUGAACAUUCAUAUCUUUUCCAUAAAAACUCGAAAUCACACAAAAUCUUCACCCAAAUUAUACCCAAAACCCUAAACCUUCUGACCCUAGCCUCCAAAGC